UUAAGCGACUAAGCGUACACGGUGGAUGCCCUGGCAGUCAGAGGCGAUGAAGGACGUGCUAAUCUGCGAAAAGCGUCGGUAAGGUGAUAUGAACCGUUACAGCCGGCGAUGUCCGAAUGGGGAAACCCAGUGCAAUUCGUUGCACUAUCGUUAACUGAAUACAUAGGUUAACGAGGCGAACCGGGGGAACUGAAACAUCUAAGUACCCCGAGGAAAAGAAAUCAACCGAGAUUCCCCCAGUAGCGGCGAGCGAACGGGGAGCAGCCCAGAGUCUGAAUCAGCUUGUGUGUUAGUGGAACGGUCUGGAAAGUCCGACGGUACAGGGUGAUAGUCCCGUACACCAAAAUGCACAGGCUGUGAACUCGAAGAGUAGGGCGGGACACGUGGUAUCCUGUCUGAAUAUGGGGGGACCAUCCUCCAAGGCUAAAUACUCCUGACUGACCGAUAGUGAACCAGUACCGUGAGGGAAAGGCGAAAAGAACCCCGGCGAGGGGAGUGAAAAAGAACCUGAAACCGUGUACGUACAAGCAGUGGGAGCACCUUCGGGUGUGACUGCGUACCUUUUGUAUAAUGGGUCAGCGACUUAUAUUCUGUAGCAAGGUUAACCGUAUAGGGGAGCCGCAGGGAAACCGAGUCUUAACUGGGCGUUAAGUUGCAGGGUAUAGACCCGAAACCCGGUGAUCUAGCCAUGGGCAGGUUGAAGGUUGGGUAACACUAACUGGAGGACCGAACCGACUAAUGUUGAAAAAUUAGCGGAUGACUUGUGGCUGGGGGUGAAAGGCCAAUCAAACCGGGAGAUAGCUGGUUCUCCCCGAAAGCUAUUUAGGUAGCGCCUCGUGAAUUCAUCUUCGGGGGUAGAGCACUGUUUCGGCUAGGGGGUCAUCCCGACUUACCAACCCGAUGCAAACUACGAAUACCGAAGAAUGUUAUCACGGGAGACACACGGCGGGUGCUAACGUCCGUCGUGAAGAGGGAAACAACCCAGACCGCCAGCUAAGGUCCCAAAGUCACAGUUAAGUGGGAAACGAUGUGGGAAGGCACAGACAGCCAGGAUGUUGGCUUAGAAGCAGCCAUCAUUUAAAGAAAGCGUAAUAGCUCACUGGUCGAGUCGGCCUGCGCGGAAGAUGUAACGGGGCUAAACUGUGCACCGAAGCUGCGGCAGCGACACUAUGUGUUGUUGGGUAGGGGAGCGUUCUGUAAGCCUGCGAAGGUGGCCUGUGAGGGUUGCUGGAGGUAUCAGAAGUGCGAAUGCUGACAUAAGUAACGAUAAUGCGGGUGAAAAGCCCGCACGCCGGAAGACCAAGGGUUCCUGUCCAACGUUAAUCGGGGCAGGGUGAGUCGACCCCUAAGGCGAGGCCGAAAGGCGUAGUCGAUGGGAAACAGGUUAAUAUUCCUGUACUUGGUGUUACUGCGAAGGGGGGACGGAGAAGGCUAUGUUAGCCGGGCGACGGUUGUCCCGGUUUAAGCAUGUAGGCGGAGGUUCCAGGUAAAUCCGGUACCUUUUUAACGCUGAGGUGUGAUGACGAGGCACUACGGUGCUGAAGUAACAAAUGCCCUGCUUCCAGGAAAAGCCUCUAAGCAUCAGGUAACAUUAAAUCGUACCCCAAACCGACACAGGUGGUCAGGUAGAGAAUACCAAGGCGCUUGAGAGAACUCGGGUGAAGGAACUAGGCAAAAUGGUGCCGUAACUUCGGGAGAAGGCACGCUGAUAUGUAGGUGAAGUCCCUGCGGAUGGAGCUGAAAUCAGUCGAAGAUACCAGCUGGCUGCAACUGUUUAUUAAAAACACAGCACUGUGCAAACACGAAAGUGGACGUAUACGGUGUGACGCCUGCCCGGUGCCGGAAGGUUAAUUGAUGGGGUUAUCCGUAAGGAGAAGCUCUUGAUCGAAGCCCCGGUAAACGGCGGCCGUAACUAUAACGGUCCUAAGGUAGCGAAAUUCCUUGUCGGGUAAGUUCCGACCUGCACGAAUGGCGUAAUGAUGGCCAGGCUGUCUCCACCCGAGACUCAGUGAAAUUGAACUCGCUGUGAAGAUGCAGUGUACCCGCGGCAAGACGGAAAGACCCCGUGAACCUUUACUAUAGCUUGACACUGAACAUUGAGCCUUGAUGUGUAGGAUAGGUGGGAGGCUUUGAAGCGUGGACGCCAGUCUGCGUGGAGCCAACCUUGAAAUACCACCCUUUAAUGUUUGAUGUUCUAACGUGGACCCGUAAUCCGGGUUGCGGACAGUGUCUGGUGGGUAGUUUGACUGGGGCGGUCUCCUCCCAAAGAGUAACGGAGGAGCACGAAGGUUAGCUAAUCCUGGUCGGACAUCAGGAGGUUAGUGCAAUGGCAUAAGCUAGCUUGACUGCGAGCGUGACGGCGCGAGCAGGUGCGAAAGCAGGUCAUAGUGAUCCGGUGGUUCUGAAUGGAAGGGCCAUCGCUCAACGGAUAAAAGGUACUCCGGGGAUAACAGGCUGAUACCGCCCAAGAGUUCAUAUCGACGGCGGUGUUUGGCACCUCGAUGUCGGCUCAUCACAUCCUGGGGCUGAAGUAGGUCCCAAGGGUAUGGCUGUUCGCCAUUUAAAGUGGUACGCGAGCUGGGUUUAGAACGUCGUGAGACAGUUCGGUCCCUAUCUGCCGUGGGCGCUGGAGAAUUGAGGGGGGCUGCUCCUAGUACGAGAGGACCGGAGUGGACGCAUCACUGGUGUUCGGGUUGUCAUGCCAAUGGCAUUGCCCGGUAGCUAAAUGCGGAAGAGAUAAGUGCUGAAAGCAUCUAAGCACGAAACUUGCCCCGAGAUGAGUUCUCCCUGA
rnacentral:rRNA from 1 species